AGGAAUCAGAGGAGGUGAGCUGCUCUGAGAUCAGCUGUCACACAGUGUCCAGUCCACCAUCCUCCCUGUGUGUUCCUGUGGAUGUGACACAGCAUCAUCACUGGAUCUGCUGCUGCUCUGUCCUUUGACGCACAAAAGUCAAAGUCGUAAAUAUUUCCAAGUUAUGUGUAGAAAAAUAUGCAAAUUUUAUGCAAAUUUUACUUUCAAAUGUAAAAAGUGACAUUAUAUUUACUUUCGGGACAUGAAGCUGUGAGCAGUCGCUGUUAUAAAUAAAUAACUGCUGAGUUCAGACAAGCUUCUUAUGUUUUAAAACAGUUUCACCCCUGAUCCUGCUGACGGCAGCGUGUUAGCAUGUUGUGUUGAAAACUAAAGACAUCAGGUGAAAACCAUGAGCACUGCAGGGAAUCAGAAAGUGUAAAGUCGUGUUAUCUGAACACAGAUUGAUGAGACCAGGCUGUAAAUAAGAUGCUCAGUACAUUGAAGUAUAAAGUCAACAGUGAUUUCUAAGAGUCGAUGUAAAUAAAGAAGAAAAGAAAAUGACGAGGUGAAGAACUUUUUCAGAUUAAAUAAGAAACAGAAAUAUUUUCACCCAAUGAGAAGCUGAGGUUGUUUUUCUGUUCAAAGUGAAUUUAAUCAUGUUAUUUGUCAAAUAGUGAAGUUUUCAUGUACAUAGUUUAAUAACCUGCUUCACCUAAUGACUCCGAUGUAAAGUGGUGUGAGUCUGUGGGUGAAAGACGUUUAGAAACACAGAGAUAAUUCGUUUGGAGCCGGGAGCCUGCGGCUCUGCUUCACUGAGAAGAUGAAAACGUCUGGACUCAUCAGAUCGAAUCAGUUCAAUGACUUCAUGAAAAACAUGUGAACUCACAUUUUGAUGAUUUUCAUUCUCUCUGGAUUCUUCACACGUGUUCAUAACUGAUCUGCAUGUUCCUGCUCAUGUACAAAGAGAUAGAAGGUUUUAUACAAGUGGACUUUCUUUCAUGUACAACGUUUAUACAACAUCGGACAAUAAGAUCACACUCAUCGACAUUUAUUCACAAAUGUACAUGAAAUAAAAGGAAACGAGGGAAUAUCCCUUAAAGUGACAUUUUUCAAUCCACAACGUGAUGAACUGCAGAAGAAUCAUUUAUAUACAGUCUGUGAUCGUACUUCACGCACAGACCUCACUACGUCCAGGACAUGAUGUCAUCACUUGUAACUGUCGGAUGUCCAGAUGUUGUGUAAACUCCGACAGGACGUUGUAAUGUUUUAUCAAUGAUUGUUGAUUAUUCUGAGUAUGAUCUUAUUCAGGUUAAGUUUAUCAGAACAUACUGUUUAUACGUCAGUGUCUUAUUCAGAUUAUUGUCUUAAUCUGGUUGAUACCAGAAUAUUGUAUCCAUGGAAACGUCAAGCGGUGAUUGGUUGGUGAGUGACAUGUCGUCCGUCACGUCUCACAGCGACAACACAGCGAGAAUUUGUGAUUCAAUAAUCAGCUGAUCAGACACAUGGAGGAGGCGGGGUUUAUGACCUAUACUGCAGUCGGCCACCAGGGGGCGAUGCAGAUCAUUUGGCUUCAUCUUUAUUUACAGUCUAAAUUUUAAUGAUUUUAUUUCACGGUGUUUUAUUGAAUGACGUCAGAUAAGAUCUUCUCUGUAAAGUCGCAGGUGAUGGAUCUGACCUGAGUUUGAGUUUCUCACUUUCCAUGUUUCACUGUUUAACGGUAGAAGGUCGAAAAUCUCAGCUUCAAAUGAUUUAAUUCAACUGCUGCAGGAAAACCACGAAAUCCAGUUUGAUCAUCACAGAAACGUCUCUUUCAAACCUCAGGUUGUUUUAUUCACUUGUAAAAUCUUGUGGCUGCUUUGUUUACAUGAAUCAUUUCUUUAUUUUUACAUGAAAAUAAACAUUUUCCACUUCAUUAAAGAUUAAAAA